UUUCCGGUUGAUCCUGCCGGACCCGACUGCUAUCAGAGUGGGACUAAGCCAUGCGAGUCAACGCAGCAAUGCGUGGCAUACGGCUCAGUAACACGUAGUCAACAUGCCCAGUGUGACGUGGAUAACCUCGGGAAACUGAGGAUAAACCUGCGAUAGGCCAAGGUUUCUGGAAUGGAUCGUGGCUGAAACCUACAUGGCCCCUGGAUUUGGACUGCGGCCGAUCAGGCUGUUGGUGAGGUAAUGGCCCACCAAACCUGUAACCGGUACGGGCUCUGAGAUGAGGAGCCCGGAGAUGGGCACUGAGACAAGGUGCCCAUGCCCUAUGGGGCGCAGCAGUGCGCGAAACCUCUGCAAUAUGCAAAAGCUUGACAGGGUUACUCUGAGUGAUGUCCGCUAAGGGCAUCUUUUGGCACUUCUAAACAAUAGUGUAGAAUAAGGGGUGGUGAAGUCUUGGUGUCAGCCGCCGAGGAAAUACCAGCACCCCGAGUGGUCGGCAGAAUAUUGGGCCUACAGCUUCCGUAGCCAGGUCCUGCAAACCUUCCCAGAUAAUACCACCUGCUCAACCAGAUUGGCUGCGGCGGAUCUACAGG
rnacentral:rRNA from 1 species